rnacentral:rRNA from 1 species
AGAGUUUGAUCCUGGCUCAGAACGAACGCUGGCGGCAGGCCUAAUACAUGCAAGUCGAGCGCAUCCUUCGGGAUGAGCGGCGGACGGGUGAGUAACGCGUGGGAAUAUGCCCUUCUCUAAGGAGUAGCCUCUGGAAACGGAGAGUAAUACCUUAUACGCCCUUCGGGGGAAAGAUUUAUCGGAGAAGGAUUAGCCCGCGUUAGAUUAGGUAGUUGGUGGGGUAAUGGCCUACCAAGCCUACGAUCUAUAGCUGGUUUGAGAGGAUGAUCAGCCACACUGGGACUGAGACACGGCCCAGACUCCUACGGGAGGCAGCAGUAGGGAAUCUUAGACAAUGGGGGAAACCCUGAUCUAGCCAUGCCGCGUGUGUGAUGAAGGCCUUAGGGUCGUAAAGCACUUUCGCCAGAGAUGAUAAUGACAGUAUCUGGUAAAGAAACCCCGGCUAACUCCGUGCCAGCAGCCGCGGUAAUACGGAGGGGGUUAGCGUUGUUCGGAAUUACUGGGCGUAAAGCGCACGUAGGCGGAUUAGUAAGUUAGAGGUGAAAUCCCAGGGCUCAACCCUGGAACUGCCUUUAAUACUGCUAGUCUUGAGUUCGAGAGAGGUAAGUGGAAUUCCAAGUGUAGAGGUGGAAUUCGUAGAUAUUAGAAAGAAUACCAAUUGCGAAGGCAGCUUUCUGGAUCAUUACUGACACUGAGGAACGAAAGCAUGGGUAGCGAAGAGGAUUAGAUACCCUCGUAGUCCAUGCCGUAAACGAUGUGUGUUAGACGUUGGAAAUUUAUUUUCAGUGUCGCAGCGAAAGCGAUAAACACACCGCCUGGGGAGUACGACCGCAAGGUUAAAACUCAAAUGAAUUGAC